rnacentral:snRNA from 1 species
CGAUUUGAGGGUGAUCUGCUCCAUCUGUCUCCCUAUGGAAUUGCAGGAGGGUUAAUUCGGCUGAUCUGACUGGCUAGGCGGGGGUCCCAUUCUUCCUUUACUGCUCCAUGUGCUCCCCUCCAGACACUGUUGAAGAGGACGACCUUGCCAGAAUGGAGGAGGACCGCUCUUUGGUCAAGAGUGUAAGAGUGGCUGUGCUCCCCUGCUAGACCCUCAAACAAGCUCAGCGUUAGUUUUAUGUUAUGUGUAAUGUGUAUGUGUAUGUGUAGGGAUGUGCCAAGUACCCCUGGAGCUCAGAAGGAAGCAUCAG